rnacentral:rRNA from 1 species
GAUGAACGCUGGCGGCGUGCCUAAUACAUGCAAGUCGAGCGAACGGACGAGAAGCUUGCUUCUCUGAUGUUAGCGGCGGACGGGUGAGUAACACGUGGAUAACCUACCUAUAAGACUGGGAUAACUUCGGGAAACCGUAGCUAAUACCGGAUAAUAUUUUGAACCGCAUGGUUCAGAAGUGAAAGACGGUCUUGCUGUCACUUAUAGAUGGAUCCGCGCUGCAUUAGCUAGUUGGUAAGGUAACGGCUUACCAAGGCAACGAUGCAUAGCCGACCUGAGAGGGUGAUCGGCCACACUGGAACUGAGACACGGUCCAGACUCCUACGGGAGGCAGCAGUAGGGAAUCUUCCGCAAUGGGCGAAAGCCUGACGGAGCAACGCCGCGUGAGUGAUGAAGGUCUUCGGAUCGUAAAACUCUGUUAUUAGGGAAGAACAUAUGUGUAAGUAACUGUGCACAUCUUGACGGUACCUAAUCAGAAAGCCACGGCUAACUACGUGCCAGCAGCCGCGGUAAUACGUAGGUGGCAAGCGUUAUCCGGAAUUAUUGGGCGUAAAGCGCGCGUAGGCGGUUUUUUAAGUCUGAUGUGAAAGCCCACGGCUCAACCGUGGAGGGUCAUUGGAAACUGGAAAACUUGAGUGCAGAAGAGGAAAGUGGAAUUCCAUGUGUAGCGGUGAAAUGCGCAGAGAUAUGGAGGAACACCAGUGGCGAAGGCGACUUUCUGGUCUGUAACUGACGCUGAUGUGCGAAAGCGUGGGGAUCAAACAGG